CUCCCCCCAAACACUAGUAUCUCCCUACGUCUGGCUGCCUUCUCCUUUUCUCCCGUCUCUCGGUCACUCACGGCGCGCGAACCUUCCUCCUGUCGUCCGCGGCCGGGCGCGGGCACGCAACCAGCUGUGCGCGCACCCCGUGACGAGUGCAGGAUUUUCUCCAGAGCCGAAGAGGCGUCGGGAUCCGUCGGGACACACAGCAGCAGCGGCGACGCACCUUCAAUUGUAGUUUAAACUUUCCAACAAACGCCUAUGAUGUGUUGUGUGACAUAUUGCCAUGCUGCGGGAAACGACGCGGCUGAUCGACGCGCCUGAUCGACUGGCCUGAUCGAUUGGCCUGAUCGAUUGGCUUCACAACGCUGUGCGUCUCAGAGGAAGCAGCAGAGAGGAGAACUCGCGUGGUGGUGCGGUUACAGCGGGCUGUUGCGGUAAGGCAACAUCAUGGAGGCUGGAUGCGCGGUUGCCGCGGUGAUCGAGAACGCUGCUUCCGGACCAGGGGGAGAAGCAGGAAGUGGUGACGUCCCUGAAGGACCUUGUGCCUCCGACGGAGCCAAAGAUGACGCCUUACCACCACCAGCUAUAACCCCCAACCCAGAGAAGACCCCCCAAGAGCUGUCCACUGCCAGGGUACGAACACCCACACACACGCCCAUGUGACCCCA
ensembl:lncRNA